UUUAAUCGGCCGAUUAAAUCGUAAUCGUAAUUUUUCUCUGAAAAUAAUCGGCAUCGGCACUCAAAAAUCAAUAUCGGUCGGGCCCUAAUUUCUACACUCCAAAACUCCUGACUGUUUUCAAGACAAAGGGUGGGACUUCAGGCACAAAAAUAAAAAGUGUGUUGGAGUCACUCAAUCAGCAACAGAUCAAUAGCCAUGAUGCGGUCAUCCGUUGUCUGAUCCAUUUCCUGGGAGAAUCGACAGAGGAGCUCAUUAAGGACUACCAGGAUGUUUCCAAGGAUGUCAUCGAACAAGACAUCAAAGACGGUGUGAUCAAGAUCCUUGUGCUGGGCAGUGCUGCAGAGGGUGCCCCCCCAACUGAUGUCAUCAUUGUGGUUGAUGGUACAGAGGUAUUGGGUGGUUGUAAAACACUCACCAAUGCUUGCAUUCUGCUCAUGGGCUUUGUGUACUCACUGAAUCUCAGUUAUCCUCCAAAAUUGAAAUACACAUUUGAAGUGUUUCAAAAGUUGCUUUUGGAGUUGGAUGAUUUAAAGUUCUCCCCCAAAGUGGAUUCUCUGAGAAGGAAACUGUUACAGUAAAAGGGAAAUGUGACUACAGCUCAUGCAGCAGAUGCAAUUGACUUAAUUGCGAAGUUGUUCAUAACUGUUCAUGAAAGGCUUUUAGUUAUGCACCUUGUUCUUUAGUGUAGGUUUGUUUCAUGACUUGAAUUACAGGAUGUAAAAAUGGACCUGUACAGGUUGGUGGCUUCUUUUUUUUUUUUAAAGAUUUGCAUUCUUUCUUGACUUUGAAUUUUAUUACUGUGUACUUAUAGGUCCAUUUACUAAAUUCCACUCACCAACGCUUGCAUUCUGCUCAUUAUUUUUGUUUCUGCUUUUUUUAUAUCUUAUGAUUUUAU